rnacentral:rRNA from 1 species
CCUACGGGUGGCAGCAGUGGGGAAUAUUGCACAAUGGGGGAAACCCUGAUGCAGCGACGCCGCGUGAAGGAAGAAGUAUCUCGGUAUGUAAACUUCUAUCAGCAGGGAAGAAAAUGACGGUACCUGACUAAGAAGCCCCGGCUAACUACGUGCCAGCAGCCGCGGUAAUACGUAGGGGGCAAGCGUUAUCCGGAUUUACUGGGUGUAAAGGGCGCGUAGGCGGUUCAGCAAGUCAGAAGUGAAAGCCCGGGGCUCAACCCCGGGACUGCUUUUGAAACUGUUGAACUAGAGUGCGGGAGAGGUAAGCGGAAUGCCUAGUGUAGCGGUGAAAUGCGUAGAUAUUAGGAGGAACACCAGUGGCGAAGGCGGCUUACUGGACUGUAACUGACGCUGAGGCUCGAAAGCGUGGGGAGCAAACAGGAUUAGAUACCCCUGUAGUC